ensembl:lincRNA
CUCAGAAACUAUCACCAGCUCCUGCAUACUGCAGGUUCAAGUUCAAACUGCUUCAACUGAAAUCCAAGGGCAUACAUUAGGUUGGACCAUAGGAAGAGUCUGAUAGCUCACAUUUUUUUGAGCCACAAAACCAGAAAUUUCAUGCUUUGACCUAAUAGUCUGGCUCCACUGUGUCAUCUUGCACACUCCUCAACCCCUGCCAGGAGUCCACUGCAGUAAGACCAUCAGGUCUCGGGCCUGCCCCAGGAUACCGGAGCCUCAUGUCUGUGAAGACUUCCAGGGAAUGGGCCUCUCUCUAGGAGCCUCUCCAGCUUCCACAGCAUGGAGUGACAGGCGACCUUUCCAUCUGAGGGAAGCUUCCAUUGGCACCUGGCCUUGCUGGACAGCUUGCAAAUUCUCUGCUUCUUACAAGAAUCCCAGAUCUUCAACAAUCCGGGAUGAAAAUUGUGAGCAAUGUGGCUCAAAGCAAGCACUAGUGAUCCUGGAGCCCCAAGAGGACCGAACCCCAGUGUCCCCUGGGGAAAACAGACUUUCUCCCUAUCUGCAUACUCAAGGCCUCACAAAAAAAUUUCCAAGAACAACGCAGGCCAAUGUUGAAAUCAACAAAAGUAAAUGGCAUCACCCCACACCCAGGUUCAUCAUGCCGAUGGAGAAGACAGGUCUGAGCUUCUGAGGGAGGAGAGUGGAGAAGAAGUCAUCUGCUGGCCAUCUCCACCUCUCUACAUCCUCGACAGCCAGGGCCAAGGGAAAGGACACCACAGACUACUACAGAAACAACUUUGAGAGUCUGCUGACUCCAUCUUGGGAGCCUAGUGGCUGCCCAGCUCCUUGGGAAGGUUGACACCUACAAGUCAAGAGUUGUCCUGGAGGAUCCUGGAGCAUUGCCAUCCCAAGCCAGGGAUGCACGACUCCAUGUUCCACAAAGAUCAGCUUCCCACUUGGGGAGGGCAGGCAGUAGCUUGACAUUCCAGGUCCAGAGCUCCAAGAUCAGAGCACAGAGCAGUGCAGGCCGAUUCCAGUCGGAUUCUAGUUGGACUCUGGAUUCAAACUGAAACCCAACCCUCUGCGUGACCAGGUGAUCUUCCAGCCCUUUCUUCAUUUCUGAAGUCCUCCAGCUGGGAAAGGGGGAGCAGUGAUCAACCUCAAAGGACCCAUGAAGAUUAAUUAAUGCUUUCACAGUGCUUGGACAUCCACAAAUGACAGGCUCCACAGGAAGAGGACAGAAUGUCAUUAGGGUUAUUAGCAGCAAGGUGGCUUUGAAUCACAGAAAUCAGAGCUGGAAUUUGGGUUCCUGAUGGGGCUAGCCUCAAUUCUACUUUUCACCAAAUGGUGCGCGCUGUUUCCAAGGGACAGCCCUAAAUAUACAAGACACACUAAUGAUGGUGCACAUCAUUCCAUUUGCUGAAUCUGCCUUCCCUCCUUGGCUGCAACUGUAAAAUCCCAACCAUCUUCUAAAGCGAAGGUCAAGACCCCCUUUCCUCUAGGAAGUGCAAGGCAAUCACUCCCGGCCUCCGAACACACACUCUCCUGUGUCUGUACUCCAGGUCUCUCCCUGCCUGUUCCUAUUCCUUCAGCCACACUGGUAGCUCCAUGAGGGGCAAGCCAUGGCUCUGUGGCCUAGACGCCAGUGCAAGGUUUGCAUCACAUUUUUAUUAAAUGUGGCCUCUGAGAAUAAAGCUGAGUGGUAUUGCUGAG